rnacentral:rRNA from 1 species
AGAGUUUGAUCCUGGCUCAGGAUGAACGCUAGCUACAGGCUUAACACAUGCAAGUCGAGGGGCAGCAUGGUCUUAGCUUGCUAAGGCCGAUGGCGACCGGCGCACGGGUGAGUAACGCGUAUCCAACCUGCCUUACACUCUUGGACAGCCUUCUGAAAGGGAGAUUAAUACAAGAUGUUAUCAUGAGUAAGCAUUUUCGCAUGAUUAAAGGUUUACCGGUGUAAGAUGGGGAUGCGUUCCAUUAGAUAGUAGGCGGGGUAACGGCCCACCUAGUCUUCGAUGGAUAGGGGUUCUGAGAGGAAGGUCCCCCACAUUGGAACUGAGACACGGUCCAAACUCCUACGGGAGGCAGCAGUGAGGAAUAUUGGUCAAUGGACGAGAGUCUGAACCAGCCAAGUAGCGUGAAGGAUGAAGGUUCUAUGGAUUGUAAACUUCUUUUAUACGGGAAUAAACGGAUCCACGUGUGGAUUUUUGCAUGUACCGUAUGAAUAAGGAUCGGCUAACUCCGUGCCAGCAGCCGCGGUAAUACGGAGGAUCCGAGCGUUAUCCGGAUUUAUUGGGUUUAAAGGGAGCGUAGAUGGGUUGUUAAGUCAGUUGUGAAAGUUUGCGGCUCAACCGUAAAAUUGCAAUUGAUACUGGCAGUCUUGAGUACAGUUGAGGUAGGCGGAAUUCGUGGUGUAGCGGUGAAAUGCUUAGAUAUCACGAAGAACUCCGAUUGCGAAGGCAGCUUACUAACCUGUAACUGACAUUGAUGCUCGAAAGUGUGGGUAUCAAACAGGAUUAGAUACCCUGGUAGUCCACACGGUAAACGAUGAAUACUCGCUGUAGGCGAUAUACAGUCUGCGGCCAAGCGAAAGCAUUAAGUAUUCCACCUGGGGAGUACGCCGGCAACGGUGAAACUCAAAGGAAUUGACGGGGGCCCGCACAAGCGGAGGAACAUGUGGUUUAAUUCGAUGAUACGCGAGGAACCUUACCCGGGCUUAAAUUGCAACCGAAUAUGGCGGAAACGCUAUAGCUAGCAAUAGCGGUUGUGAAGGUGCUGCAUGGUUGUCGUCAGCUCGUGCCGUGAGGUGUCGGCUUAAGUGCCAUAACGAGCGCAACCCUUGCCGAUAGUUACUAACAGGUCAUGCUGAGGACUCUGUCGGGACUGCCAUCGUAAGAUGUGAGGAAGGUGGGGAUGACGUCAAAUCAGCACGGCCCUUACGUCCGGGGCUACACACGUGUUACAAUGGGGGGUACAGAGGGCUGCUACCACGCAAGUGGAUGCCAAUCCCAAAAACCUCUCUCAGUUCGGAUUGAAGUCUGCAACCCGACUUCAUGAAGCUGGAUUCGCUAGUAAUCGCGCAUCAGCCACGGCGCGGUGAAUACGUUCCCGGGCCUUGUACACACCGCCCGUCAAGCCAUGGGAGCCGGGGGUACCUGAAGUGCGUAACCGCAAGGAGCGCCCUAGGGUAAAACUGGUGACUGGGGCUAAGUCGUAACAAGGUAGCCG